rnacentral:lncRNA from 1 species
GAAAUGUAGUUGUAAACAGGGUUUGGUUCAUAUGGUGGUGGAGGCGGCUUGUAGCCAGGCUUGUGUGGUGGCGCCGGGGCCUUAUGCGCAGGUGGUGUCCUGUAUUUUGGCGGAGGCUUGUGCAUGGGUGCUGGAGAUGGUGGUGGUGACUCGCAAUAUUCAUGUUUAGGUGGUGUUCGAGGCUUAUAUACUGGUGAUGGUGAUGGUGGUAGUGGUGGCUUGUAUUUUGGAAGUGGGGUUGGUGGAGGGCCAGGAGGCUUGUAAGGUUUUGGUGGCAGAGGUUUGUAUUUUGGUGGUAAUGGUGUCAGUGGCGACUUGUAUGGCUUCGGUGGUGAAGGUUUAUACUGUGGUCGUGGUGCCUUGUACUUUGGAGGCGACGCUGUUGGAGGCUUGUAUGGCUUCGGUGGCGGAGGUUUGUAUUUUGGUGGUGGCGGCUUGUACUUUGGAGGCGACGGUGGUGGAGGCUUGGACGUCUUCGGCGGCAAAGGUUUAUAUUUCGGUGGCGGCGGCUUGUAUUUCGUUGGCGGCAGCAGCGGAGACUUGCAUGGUUUUGG